GCCCUUCUAGCUCAGCGGAAAGAGCGCGCGCCCGCGGCGCGCGAGGUCGGAGGUUCGACUCCUCCGGAGGGCA
rnacentral:tRNA from 1 species